AUCCCGUGGUGGAGACAUUGUCUAAGCAACUCUUUAAAUCCUUCAUAAGCAUCAAACAAAGAUUCAUCAUCUCAUUGUCUAAAUGAAGUGAUCUCGUUCCUCAUUUU